GCAGAUCAUUAGGGGUGCCCCAAAGCAACGGGCUGAGAUCAUACCCAUAUUACCUGAUCCGGGUAGUGCCGGCGAAGGGAAAUGAGAAAUAGCUAAU
rnacentral:ncRNA from 1 species